rnacentral:lncRNA from 1 species
CAGGCACUCACACUAGGGAAGCUAGCUUAGUCCAUUUGUGCUGCUAUAACAAAAUACUACAAACUAGGCAAUUUAAAUCAUGGAAAUUUAUUUCUCACAGCUCUUGGAAGUCUGGGAAGUCCAAGAUCAAGGUACUGCCAAAGUCAGCGUCUACAGAAGGUUGGCUCUCCUUUCACGACAGUGCCUUGUUGCCGCAUUUUCACAUGGUGGAAGGAGAGACGGCAAAAGAGAUAAAUGCUGUGUCUUCACGUGGCAGAAGAGGUGGAGGGCUGAAUUUGUCCCCUCAAGCUCUUUGGU